rnacentral:lncRNA from 10 species
AAGGGUGUGUGUGUGUGUGUGUGUGUGUGUGUGUGUGUGUGUGUGUGUUUGGGUAUACUUAGAUAGUAGUGGGAUUGUUGCAAUUUAUGGUAAUUUUGUGAUCCUUGGUGUCAAGCUCUUAGAAGUAUUCAAGAUCAACUGGAAAAUAUUUACAGCUUCUACAUACAGUGCAGGAAUAUAAAAAUAUGCUGAUUACCACAAAGUUUGACCUAGUAUGACUGUGAGAGCAAAAACUUUUUAAUUAAAAAUAAAAAUUACAUUUGAAGUCUCACUUUUUUCACCUGUCUUGGCAUUUCUUCCAUACUCGAAACUGAUUUGAGGUCAUUACAUAGAUGAGAUGACUCUGAGCUGGGAAUGAAUGAUGCAACAGGUAAGAAAGUACAGUU